GCACAAGCGGUGGAGCAUGUUGGUUUAAUUCGACGCAACGCGAAGAAACCUUACCGAGGGCUUGACACUCCCCUGACCGCGUAUGAAAGUACGUUUUCACCCUCGGGUGACAGGGAGACAGGUGGUGCAUGGUUGUCGUCAGCUCGUGUCGUGAGAUGUUGGGUUAAGUCCCGCAACGAGCGCAACCCUUGCUGUCAGUUGCCAUCAUUAAGUUGGGCACUCUGGCGGGACUGCCGGUGAUAAAUCGGAGGAAGGUGGGAUGACGCCAAAUCAUCAUGCCCCUUAUGUCCUGGGCUACACACGUACUACAAUGGCUACUACAACAGGAAGCGAAGCCGCGAGGUGGAGCGAAUCCCCAAAAGUAGCCUCAGUUCGGAUUGCAGGCUGAAACUCGCCUGCAUGAAGUCGGAAUUGCUAGUAAUUGCAGGUCAGCAUACUGCAGUGAAUACGUUCCCGGGCCUU
rnacentral:rRNA from 1 species